UUAGGAUUAGGGUUCAAAUUGGGGUUUCAAGACUGGGGUAGGAAUUCCAGAUAGGAUUCAGGUUUACGCUACAAAUCCAUAGUUAGGAUUUCAAACUAGGGUUACAAGUCAUCGGUUUGCGUUCAAGAUAGGAUUAAGGUUCUAAACUAAAGUUUAAAAGUAAGGUUUUUAGCUAAAGUUGGGGUUUCAAGACAGGAGCUGUCUGUCUGGACGGUGUUUGGGUUGUUUCAAACAUGGUUAGGGUUUCAAGUUUGAUGUUGGCUUUUAAAAGAGCCUUCUGAAAAAAAAGAAAUAAGAGGCUUAUUUAUGAACACGAAUUUACAGAAAAUCAUCGAAGGCAGGGAAUGAAACAUCUGCAACGGGGCUACAGAGGAAGAAUAUUGACAGUUGCCAUCAAUUGAAAGAUGAAGGAUGUUCCUGAGUCGGUCCUGAUGCUGCACUUUUGAAAAGAGUAAAAAGAAGAAAAAAAAAAGGUGUUUGCAGGCCAGCGCGUGUUUCUAACAGCAGGUCAUCCUGCUCUGUGACAGCCCAGAUGUUUCUCACUGCCGCUGCCUUUCCACAGCUCAGCUGUCCCAGUAUGCCGAGCUGCCAGCGCACGCCGCCAACUCCGUGUUUCUCACACACACACACGCGCGCGCACAUUUACGCGCACAAAAGGAGCCCUCCCCUUACAAAGUUUUGAGGCGAAAGCUGCAAGUCUGAAGUCUCAGCGAUACGAACACAAGCUGGUCGUCGCUCGUGAAUAGUACGGCAAGUGCACAGAAAUGUGACAGUAACUGCCGUCGCUUUGAUAAACCGUGAGCAGAAAUGUUGCCAUUUCUCAGUACCGCAAUUGCAGCUGUUCAAUGAAUCGUUUUGAAAUGUUUGAGGGAAUCUCGUAAACGUCAAGAGAAAAUUUGGCCUACUUCAAGUAUGAAUAUUACUGUUUAAUUAACCCUUUUCAGGGACAAUGGUUACUAAAAUGGACAUUUUAUCAUGUUCUCAGGAUGCAGGGUGCAAGAAAGUGUUCAUCUGCAAAAUUGUCCUCUUGCUCCGCAGACCCUCCGACCGUCAGUCUUGUCUCUGUAGCUUUGCCAGAGUCAGGAAGCUGGACAUUUAGUUAGCUGUGUCGCGGCAGGUCACUAACCUAUGACCUACUAAUGACUGACCUUUCUGAGCGAAAACCUAAACAGUCCCUGGUGCCGUACUGUCUGGCAGAUGUCUGCUGACAGGCCAGUUAUUCAAAGAAUGCUAGCAAGGAUUCGCGCUAGCUGUGAAUUUAGGUUGUAAAUCUCUAAUCUGUACAUUUUUACACAUUAAAGUCGCUUCUUCUCUCCUCUUCUACGCUCUGUGAAAUAACGUCAAACGUCAAAGAUUAACUGAUGUUAGCCAUGCCAGUGAGCUUGUUAGCUAGUUAUUUGCUUUAGCUUCAAGUGCAGACAUGCUAACUCUCUUCGGUGGCUGUAAGCUCUCAAGACAGCAUUUAAUUAGUAAUUAAUGUUAUGGUGACUUUGUCUUUAAAAAAAAAGGAUCAUACCGCUGCUGAAAACUUGUUGACACAUUACACAAAUUGUGAAUUUUUACUUUGAUAAACUUCAGCGUCGCUAGUUUCUGCAGUGUAUAGGAAAAAUAUCAAUGUUUCAAAAAGUAAAUGUGGAAAUGGUUUACAAUAAAACCAUCUGUGUUACGUGGAUUGUUGCAAGAGUCUUACAAUCUGACUGUCUUUUGACCCCAAAUGUAUCUGUGAGUCAGCAGAUUUUAGCAGAUGCAGGGGGGGCGGGGGGGGGGGGGGGGGUGAAGCAUCACUUGGACGUUCUGUUUUGUACAUUACCCGUUCAUUUUUUACAAUAAAGAGAUUAUUGAUGUAA